AUGCAGCUUCAACCGCACUUAUAGGUUUUUUAAACAUACUUUGUAUGUACCAAUUGAGGCGAGUCUAAGUAUAACA
rfam:Mycoplasma iowae 695 contig30, whole genome shotgun sequence.